rnacentral:lncRNA from 1 species
AAUAGAAGUUCUGACUUGUAGGCUCCAAUAGGACCUGGCUUGGGCUGAGAUUUGGUCCGCCCCACUUUGACAUAAAGUCAAGUCAACUGGUCUGACCUUGGGGUGCCCUCAGCAGAUUUGUGGGUGCAGAUAUUAAUUCUCCUUCUCUUGUGCAAAUAACACUUUUUUGCUUGCUUUUCUUGACUUUUGGCGUACUUUAACACAAUAUUCGCAUUUCGGCUCAUAAAACCUACACAAUAGACAAGAAAGCACUAAUCAAUAGAUAUAACACAAUAAUUUCAAGGAAUAGAAAAAUGGACCACUUUAAGAUGUCCAUAUGCAAUAUUGGCCGGGUUAGGGAACCAUGGAUAAAAAAGGCCCAACCUCUGAUUUCCGUGUCUUAUGGACCAAUUUACCCUUCCAUCUCUCUUCUUCUCUCGUCUUCUUCUUCUUCAUUAUAUCCCUGCCACUAUUUGCAACAACAUCAGAAAGAACAUUACAACAAAACAUCAACACAACACAUUUGUAAAACGAAAUUAUGUUUUCUUCUCCAAAUCUAACGAAUUCUUAUUUACUUUUUUAUUUUUCUCUGCUUCACUUUGAUCGAAUUGCUGAAAAACCCAUUUAACCUCUCGAUCUGAUGAAUAAAACCAAAUUGUCCAUUUUUCUAGCCGUUCUUGCACGGCUGAGAUCAACUAAACCCUUGUUAUUUUGAUCAAUUAGAGGAUUUUGAAUUAUGGUUUAAAUUGUUUGGUGAUUGAUGUGAAACAUAUCCCUAUCCAUACUUAUUUGUUCAAUUUUCUUCCCAGUAUGCUUAUGUUUAGUAUAUUACAAAUUCAACUUCUCUCUCACCUUAAGUAUCUCUUUCGCUUGAAUUGCGAUAUCUCUACCUUAAAAAAAAAAAAAUUACGAUAUCACUAGAUGGUUGAUGAAUCAUAACCCAAGCAUUUGGUAAAACCCUUAUUUCCCCUUUCGCAUUCGCUGUUAACAAAAGAGAACCCAUCGAUGCAGCUUGACCAAUACAAAGUGUACUAAUAGGUGAUCGAAUGUAUUGCAUUGUAUCAUAAAUAGCAAGACCAACAGUAACAACACCACCAGGUGAAUUGAUAUACAUGUUAAUUGGUUUCGAAUGGGUUUCAGAUUCUAAGAAAUGAAGUUGAGUAACAACAACACAAGUUGUAUCAUCAGAAAUUGGAUCAUUGAUGCAAACAAUUCUUUCUUUAAGAAAACGAGAAAAGAUAUCAUAAGCUUGUUCACUUCUUGAUGUAUGUUCAAUUACUAUUGGAAUUAAACCAUAAGAUUUUUUUUUUGUGACUGAUGCAAAUUAAGACUUGUUUACAUAUCACAAACACAUAUAUACUCUUGUUUGCAUCAGUCACAACACAUAAAAAUAAAAUGCAAAAACUUGUUUGUAUACUCACAACAACGACCACAUAAACCAUAAAAUGUAAAGACUUAUUUACAUCAGUAAUAACACACUUAAACAUUAAAUGCAAAGACUUGUUUGCAUACUCGCAACAACAACCACAUAAACUAUAAAAUGUAAAGCCUUGUUUGCAUCAGUCAUAACAUACAUAAACAUUAAAUGCAAAGACUUCUUUGCAUACUCGCAACAACCACCACCAUAUAAAACCCUAAAAUGCAAAGAAUUGUUUGCAUAAACCAGAAGGGUAUUAUCGGUAGUAAAAGGGAUAUUUUUACAAUUUUAACGUUAAAUGGGUAUUUUCUUAUCUGACAUAUACUUAAUCAGGGCCAAUAUUAUAAACCAAGACUUAGUUGGGCUAUUUGUGUUUUGUGGACUCUUAAUGAGGUCCCAGAACCAUUUCCAUCCAAUAAUAUAAGCUAAGUGCUAGACAAACAAGGUGUUCGGGGGAUAAAUAUACACUUUUGAGGACUUAUCAGCUAUUGAAAUGUGGGCAGUACUUUCAAUAUAUUUGUUGUCAAUUUAAUUUAAUGACCCAAGAUUAUUAUAACCAUCAAUACUAUGACUGAGCUAUUGUAAAACAGAUGCUUGCAUUAACAAAGCAAACCAACAACAAACAGAUGAACCUUAACACAUGUGAAAUCAGGAGAUCAAGGUGUAAACAAAUCUUUAGCAGCAAAGCUAGGAGAGAAUGUGUAAAGUAAAUGGCGUACAACUACACAAGCAACAUGGGAAAGGCAAUGACUACUACAUAACCAUAGCAGGCAUUAAGUACAAAACUAGCUCAUAUUCCAUCAAAUUAAGCAUAUAUUCAUAAACCUGUAAGUUUUGUGUAGUACAACAUUAUAAGUAGCAAACUAAACAGUAGUGAUAGGUCAUUUAACAGUCUAGCUACCUUAUCCCUACAUAUAACAUACGAAAUUUAACAGAGCCAUUUUCAGCCCCAUGUUCAGAAUCAGUAAUAGACACAGUUGGAUCACCAUUGUUCUACCCAAGCUAGCCUAGAUUUGGAUCAUCAUAAAGAUCUAGAAGAAUCCUAGCAUAGGUUCACGAACUUCUAAAAUGUUUCUACUUAGUAUGCCCUCAAAUAUCGAUGAAAGUAAAACCAUGGUGAUAUUUACUUGGUAGCAAUACAUUUUUUUCUUGUUGAUUUUUACUUUGAGUUAUAAUAAGUUUAGGAAGUUGCGCAUCUUUAUAUAUAUCUUAGAUAACUCCUGAUGUGGUAGUGACCUUUACUUAUUUUUUUUUAAAUUUUUUUUCAUAAUAGAUGCUCUCUAAUUCAAGACUUGUGGAGAGCCUUCGCUCUUAAAUGUCUUAUAGGAAUCUAGAAAGCAACCAAGAAAAUAAAUAGCUUUCACCAUCGCAUAAUCAAACUAAUUUUUUUUUAACUUAUAAUCAAACUAAUUAAACUAAUGUUAUUCAUAGUUUUCAAAAGAGCUUUAACCCCAACACGAACAAUCAUAGAAUAAAAAAAUAAAAUUAAACAUAAAUUGUAGAAUUGAAACCUUCCUGGUUACCUGGCUCAAAAUCGUAUUAAGAUAAGUUCCACUAGACAAUUGAACAGACCACCUUCCACAACCAAAAUUGAUGAUAUCUUUUUCCCCAUGGAACAAUGAGAAUAAUAUAAAACAAAAAAUCAAAGAUGUAAACUUACUGAUAUGAUUCUUUAAUUUAAGCUUUUGAUUUGGGGAAAAAAAAAACACCACAAACACCUAAAUUCUCAAUUUUGAUCGAUGAAUCUCAUUGUUACAUCUUAAGGUUUUAUAUAAGCAAAUAGCUAAUUACUAAUCCUAAUCUAAAUAGAAUUUAAUAGAAUUCAUACAAUUAGUAUACUAUAAUCGAAACAAAUAAGUAAUAGAUUCAGUCCUAAAUCAUAUAAAAGAGCAUUAACCCUAAACCCAAAAACGAUAAAAAUUAAAAUUCUCAAGAGAAAUCGAAAAAUUGAAACCUUAUACAGAAUUUCUUAACAGAAAUUAUCACUUACAAGCUUGAUGAUUCGCAGCAGAAGAGAAACUAUUAGAAGCACACCAAGCAAAACCUUCCCCCCCAAAAAAAUAUUGAAAAAUUGAACCUUAAAAUCUUAAUUCUCUAUGGAGGAGAAAUAUGUUUCGUUGAGUAAGAGAGAGGUUAAAAGGUUUAGUUAGGGUUUUUCUUCAUAUUCAUCUCAAGAAGACAAGAACCAGUAAAAGAGAUGAACAACGAUUUUCUGAAUUGGGUAAUAGGGAUUACCGUGUUAACACUUAAUGGUCUUCUCCGUGCGAACCACGU